rnacentral:snRNA from 1 species
AGCUUUACACAGUGGCAGUAUCGUAGCCAAUGAGGUUUUUCCAAGGCGUGAUUAUUGCUAAUUGAAAACAAAUAGACUUCUAAGGGAUAGUAAUAAAAUAAAUUAUAAUAU